rnacentral:lncRNA from 1 species
UCCCUCUUCUUUCCUAUACUGAGGGAGUAUGGAGCUUUUCAUUUCAUUUUAGAGACAAUGGUCUGCACAGGAAGGAAACAAGUGGGUAGCUGUGUCUUUGUUCGUUUGGCUAACCAGGCCAGAACUGUGGGCCCAUCUCUGCAUAAGCCACUUAGUGUUUCUCUACUCCUAACCACAGAUUGCACUUGAACCUUUGCCAGCUGUUUCCCAGUGCAUGCCAUUGGAUGUGAGGGAGACCUGAAAUGAGUGCAGAUAGAUCCGCGUAAAAUCAUCACAACUUUUUCAAACAAAACACAUAAAACAUGAAGCGCUUAAUGGCAGGAUCAGAAAUUUUAUCUUUAUGUAUUCAAAGGUCAAAACAUUUGUAACACAUGUGCUGCUGUCAGAGUAAAUGCUGUAUGAUAGGAACAAAAUUAAGAAGCUGUGACAUACUUGAAUAUUGAGACUUUUAUCAUUUUAAUCUAAAAAAUUAAAUUUUUUGCUGACAAGUUAGUAUAACCAGUCCUAGAAAAUAGUGGUUGGAAUGAGAAUGAUUUCAUUGAUUCAGAAAUUGCCAAGAGGUCUACAAAACCAGUAUGCCUCCUGUUUUAAUAGAGGACAUAAUUAGAGAAUGUUCUUAGUUGUCUAGCUUUCUUGCCCUGGGAUUUGUGCCUAGUUGUUUGAGGAUUUGUAGGACUCAGAUUUCUCUAACAAUCAACAGUCCUUUUUAUUUUCUUUAUAUUUUCACUUCUGGUUAACAUCCAUCUAUAAUCAUUUAUAUAAUUUUAAGUGAUCUUGAGAACAACCUUGUAAUAUAAAUCAGGCAUUAGUCUCGAAGUUUACCUGGUUAGUCAUUUGGUAACCUUUUUUUAUCUGACUAUUAGUGACUUAACUCUGAGAAGAACAGUUGACAAUAAAGUGAGAAAAAAAACAUAGACCUAUACUAACAAAAUUAUUUCUAAGAUACUACAUUCUCUUGUUAGGAAACAGUGUGAAAGUUUAAAUAUUAUUUAUCAAAGUUUUUUUUUAAAGUUAUACACUUCCCCUCCGCCUUCUAGAAUAUCUAAGGAAAAAAGUAAAAGAACUCUCUUUGGCAUCUCUGGACAGUUGAAUAGACAAGGAAGAACUGUAGUCUUUUUUUUUUUUUUUUUUUUUAAGCUAAAUUACCCUAAGAACACUCUGCUCCAACAUAGGAAUGCCAUGGAACAAGAGAUGGUAACACAAGAUACACCAGGAGACUCGAGCCCCAUUGCUGUUGCUUGAAAAAAGAUUUGGACGGAGUUUUGCUGGAGUGCAAUGGCACAAUCUUGGCUUACUGCAGCCUCUGCCUCCCAAGCUCAAGCAAUUCUGCCUCAGCCUCCCAAGAUGCUGGAAUUACAGGUAUGUUCCACCACACCUGGCUC